rnacentral:rRNA from 1 species
AAAAGUCGUAACAAGGUUUCCGUAGGUGAACCUGCGGAAGGAUCAUUACCGAGUGAGGGCCCUCUGGGUCCAACCUCCCACCCGUGUUUAUUUUACCUUGUUGCUUCGGCGGGCCCGCCUUAACUGGCCGCCGGGGGGCUUACGCCCCCGGGCCCGCGCCCGCCGAAGACACCCUCGAACUCUGUCUGAAGAUUGUAGUCUGAGUGAAAAUAUAAAUUAUUUAAAACUUUCAACAACGGAUCUCUUGGUUCCGGCAUCGAUGAAGAACGCAGCGAAAUGCGAUACGUAAUGUGAAUUGCAAAUUCANGUGAAUCAUCGAGUCUUUGAACGCACAUUGCGCCCCCUGGUAUUCCGGGGGGCAUGCCUGUCCGAGCGUCAUUGCUGCCCUCAAGCACGGCUUGUGUGUUGGGCCCCGUCCUCCGAUCCCGGGGGACGGGCCCGAAAGGCAGCGGCGGCACCGCGUCCGGUCCUCGAGCGUAUGGGGCUUUGUCACCCGCUCUGUAGGCCCGGCCGGCGCUUGCCGAUCAACCCAAAUUUUUNCCAGGUUGACUCGGANCAGGUAGGGAUACCCGCUGAAA